ensembl:snRNA U7 U7 small nuclear RNA
AAGUGUUACAGCUCUUUUAGAAUUUGUCUAGGAGGUUUUCUGAUCCUCACCAGAAAACCCCC